rnacentral:rRNA from 1 species
CUGAAGGUAUGGAGAGUGAUUGGGGCGAAGUCGUAACAAGGUAGCUGUAGGUGAACCUGCAGAAGGAUCA